AGCCCGGCCGCGCUCCCGUGCCCGCCCUGCUGGUCACCGCGGGGGGAGCGGUGGCGAGGGGACGCGUCCCUCCGGGUGGGAGGAUGGCCGCCUGCCCUGGGCCGGCGGGGCUCGGGCCGGGUACGGCGCGGGCUCUCGGCCCUGGCAACUCACCCGGCCUUGCCGCCCGUGCUGGCGGUGCCCCGCCGCCCCGUGAGCGUGGGGCUGUGCCCGCCGGGGGAGCGGGGUGCGGGGGAGCGUGCGUGCACCCCGAGAACGACGGCGGCCCUGCUCCCGCCCUUACUGCUUCCCCGAAUCAUCACCACGCGGUUUCCAUUCCUUACGCUGUUUCUCCGCUAAGCGAAGAACCGCCCUGUACUUCCAGGAUGACUAUUUAAUACGUUGUAAUCUCCCCCAGGGUUUGUUUUCCUCUCUAUGGUUCUUUCAGCUUUCCUGCAAGAAAAUAAACUAGAAAUAAGUAGGGUGAUGGACGAGAAACUCAAUUACUUAAGAGUCUGAUUUAUCUUUCCAAUGUUCAAUUUCAAAUUCUUCCAAGUCUCAAACAGGAUGCAAAUAGUGGAAAUUAUCAAAAUCAAUUUGCAGUUUUCUUGCCCAUGUACUUAUGCCAACUGAUGCUUGAAAGGGGCUGGGGUUCAGUCAGGGAAAUACUGCAAUUUGCCACGCAAUCUUAUUAGAUGCUCCCUCAGGCCAUUACAAUUUUGAUGCCAGUUCUGCAUUUCUGAUUUACAUGAGACCAUGAUAGAGCCAGGAGGCUUGAGCUUAGCCAAACCUGUAGAAACACCAGUUAAUUCAUGAUUAUUUAGCAUUUCUGAAGUUACUUUUCUGUAAAAGCUGCUCAGGAGCUGGAUGACCCUAAAAAGAGAAAGGCAACUGUGCAAUCGGGCAUAUGCCAGACCAGUGCUAAUGGAAAGAGUAGUUCAAAUCCUCCUUUCUUCCAGCCUCUGAGGGUGACAGCAAAGCUGGAAAAUGGCAGGAAUGCUCUGGGGGAAAAAACAGGGAACUGCUAGUGUAUUACCAGAACAUUUCUGAAAGGAAAAGGCAAUAGGGGAUGCCCAGAAAACAAUUCUGAGAGGAUGACUGCUCCCUGGGAUAGGAUGGACCCAGUACUCCCAUUUCUUUUGAUGCAAAACCUAUGUAUUUUUCAUAUUGGGGGUGUUGGGGGAAACCUGCUAAGACAGGGUGGAGUGAGAGAAGUCAAUUGAUGGAAGAGAAAGAGUGUGAUAAAAUUCAGAAAGUGUUCCUGAAAUUAUUCAGAGCUAGAAACUGGUUCCAAAAACAUAUGGAUGCAAUGUCAAUUGCAGAAAGGGUUAUUCAUGUUCCCUUUUUUUAAAGAAAAAGGGAAAUGGUGCUUGACAUUUGUACAACAAAGCUGCUUCCAAGGGACUACCAUGCUUUAAAAAAUGGGAAAAACAAAAAGCAAGGGAAGAACAACAAACUUCUGCUUGUGUCCCUCCCUCCAACCUGGUGUUAAGAGUAAUUGUUCAAGAGGAACCUCCCAUGAUUUCUGCACAGCCUGAAGUAUUUCUGUGUUGUCUUCUAGAUUCACCCUUUCCCUCCCUCCCCACUGGUCUCCACUUGCAGACUGUGUCUUCGUUGGUCUCAUCUCAGCCUCUGCUAGUUCACCCCACCCCACUUUAAAUGCUCCUACCCAAGCUACUCCUCAAGACAUUUGACUCAAAUUCCUUCUUCCUUAGGUUUCCCAACACACACAUACAGCGCUCUGCCAUAGCAUUUCAGGUCCAGUUAUUGCCUUGUCUCGUCUCUCCUUGCUCCCACACUCGAGAUACAUGCACAUGUGCAUCUGCCCUUAUCUCCCUGAGCCACCUUGCUGUAGAUGAGCCUUGCCAGACCUCCCAUCAAGGCUCCUCCUCUAGCAGGAUUUUAGAAAACCUGUAUGUGGGCAGCACUUCAGUGAAGAUCCACCCAGAGGGAGCCCCGAGAGCAGGAAGGCUGGCAUGCUGAAAAGUGGCCCUGUGAUAGUGCUGCCCGAGCAAUGUCUACGUCUACCAGAUGAAAUGCAGAACAUGGAUUUUUCAAAGGACACUCAGAGGAAGCAGAGGACAUCUACAGUGAAUGGAGGAGCCAGUUAGAAUCAAAGUACAGCUCACAAGAAAUAGACUAUAACCUUUAAAGAAUAUUUUAUGCCAUAAAAAGCAUGCUGGAUUGCAAUGCAGAUAAUACAAUUUCAGUGUGUGUCUGCGCAUUUAAUGAAGUAAUAGCCCAGUUUUCCUCUCCCUGAAGUUAAUAAAAAAUAGCUUGAACACCAACACAAUGCUAUCCUUGAUUCUUUGAGUGGCUUCAUAAACCUUCAGCCUAAACAGAGAAAAAGAAGUAAGGAUUCUUCCCAUGAAACAGCUCAAGAGACAACUCCUGACGUCACUUAAAUGAAGCAUACUUCCUUCUGCUUCAAUAUAAUUACAUUGUGAGAUCUUAAAAAUAAUAACAAAGAAAAAAAACCAAAACAACUAAACACCUGUACUGGGCUUGCAUGGCAAAGUUUUGGUAGCAGGGAGGGCUUCUGUGAGAAGAUGCCGGAAGCUUCCAUGUUCAGUGGAGCCAAUGCCAGCCCGAAGAUGGACCCACUGCUGGCCAACACUGAGCACAUCAGCAAUGGCAAAGCAGAAAUCUGCACCAGUAGAAGAGAGGAGUGGGACUAUGUGAGAGCAACAACCCUGCAGACACCCAGGACGCAUGAUUGUACUCAGAACAAAUUCUCCCCCUCAAGCUCCACAAUGCGUUAGAACUAAUUUCUACAGCCAGAAGGACAAUCUGUGUAAUAAUUUCUGUGUUAUGAAAACAUAGAGUGUACUGAAAGUUGGUAAAAAUCGAAGUAUUCAUUCAUUAUUUGCUGUGUAGUCUUCUGGGAGAUCUAAAAGCAAUACAUGAAAAGACUAUCAGUGUCUCAGGAGGAUAAUGAGAACUUUUAUUGUCCAGGAAAGAAAAGUUUAUAUUGAAGCUUAGUGGAUACCAACGCUACGCAUGUGAAGAGCCAUCCUGUUUUAAAAGAAGACAAAUGUUUUUCUGAUGGUGGGAAAUUUUCCUGGGAUACAAGAAUGAUGUGCACCAAGAGAGCAAUCAAAAGACAGUGUCUCACCAACUGUUCAUGAUCUGGCUUUCUGUCCUCACUCCACUUACCUGGGUUGGUCCAACAAGAGGUGCCUAGAGUUUAUGUGACAAGAUCUGUGAUGCACUGGUGAGAUAGCAGCUGCCCCCGGUCCCAAGUUUCAGACAAGGGCUGCUGCUGCAGUUCAUGGAUGCAGCACGUCCACAGCUACUAGUAGUGCAGCACCCGCGGCAGCCAGCUUCCCGACAGACUAUUCCCUCUCUGCUUGAGAGCUGGGAAAAGUCUGACAGCUCCAAGAGACAUUUCUGAAUUGCAAAUGUGGCUUUGAAUGGAACAGACACAUGUGGCCAUUUAUUUAUAUAUGCUUAGACUGCUGACUUUCAUUUAAGACUUGAAAAUGAAAUUAGCUUUUUUAUUUACGUAUGGGGGGGGGGGUUGUAUUUAUAUAAACUUAGGUUUAUAUUCUGGGGGAAAGAGGAAUAAAGAUACUGAGGCACAAUGCUUUGCCCUCCUGUACAGCAGCUGACAGAAUUAAACCUAGCCACAUACAGGUCUAAUCAUUGCCACAGUCUGGACCGGUGUGACUUGGAUCUGGUGCUCUUGUCUCCUUAGACUGCUUUGUGAGCGGAGCCCUGGCUCUGGAGCUCACACCACAGAGGUGGACAUCUGCCUUGUCCAAAAGCAACAGGUGAGCAGCAGCUCAUCUCCUUCAUGGUUCUGUCUCACUUUAUAGCAAGCAGUCUGGCACCACACAGGGACUUGGACUCGCCAGACCUACAUCACUGGGAUGCUCCCACAGCUCUGCGGUACCCAACACCAGGAUCAGCUCAGCUGUCUCUGCACUGAGCAUCUCCCUCCCCCUGCUGCAACAGUGAAACUGUAGGGAGUCUGCCAUGCCAGUGCCAUAGUCAGACACAUGCCAUGGGUUCAGCUUUCUCUCAUUGGCUUCUUGUCUGCACCUCCAGGAUUUUUCAGGUGUUUCUUUUUGUAUUGGUAUUAGGAAGGCUUAGUAUUAUUCUGCUUGCAUGUCUGGAUGAAAGGAAUUCAGUGCAGCAUUAUGGAGGCAUAAUAUAGCCUAGCUACACCAAAUGCCUCUCGGGAGGCAGCGUGUGGUGGCCGUGGGCUGGUUUGUACAAGUUAUGUCUUGGGAAGAGCCAGGACAGUGUCCAAAGGAGAAAUCCAACCAUCUGGAAUCACUUCUGUGAAAGCCCAUAAUUUCUAAAUCCCAAAGCUCUAGAUCCUACAGUCCAUGCACACCCAAAAAUACAAUUAACAUUGACAAAGGAAAUGGCUGUAUCAAACAAUCUUGAAAAGAGAGCUUAUUUGUGUUAAAUACAGAUUAAAUUCCAAGUUUAAAAUGGCAAUCAAGUUUUUAAUUUCUCCUUUCAGCUGUGGUUUUGUAAUAAGUAGAAAAUAACUGCACAAGCAUUGGUUAAUUUAGAGAAGUCUGUUCUGAAGGGAGAUUUUGCAAAAUGUUAGGAGUAAUAAAACAAAGCCAUUUUUACAUUGUGCCAGAAAAACGCCAAGUUAACGAAAAAGUCUGGCCCCAAGCUGGACCACCAAAAUAGAAACUAAAGAUAGUGCUACAAAUAUAGUCCCAGAAAUUGGUUCACAUAAGUUUGGUUAUCUUCUAAGUUAAAAAAAAAAAAAAAAAAAAAAGGAAUGAUUUAAAAAUUCUGAUUUAAUACUACUUUGGAAAAUCCCACUUGUACUGCAAGCCAUCUCCAUUAAUGCAAAAGCCAAGACUCACUUUUUUUGUUUACACACAACCUUUAUGCAUGUACAAGUUGUAUGACAAGAGGAUUAGAAUGUACUUCCAAGGCUUUACAGUAAAGCAAGAGAAAUUUCUGUGCAAAUCCUAGAUUGAUCCAUUUUCCUUUCAUGGAGUCAAACCCCCCCCUCCCCCCCCAAAAUCAUAACAUGAUUGAGAUGGGUUUUCAGUACCUUCUCUGUGUUACAGAAAUUGCCAUUUCUUGGAAAAAAAACAAGCAAACAACUUUUCUGAUGCUGCAACUUGUUAAAAUAACAUCUUCAACAAUGAAAACACUCGAUUGGAACUACCUUUAUAUAUAAAUGUAAUAAAUGUACACAGGUGUGAUGCUGAACAUAAGAGGCCCAUCUGUUGAGAAAAAAUGGGAGUCAUUUUUACACAGUUGCAGUAGAAGCAGCUUCACUUAAAACAGGUUGAGAGAUACUUCUCUGGCAUAAUGCUGAAUCUGUCAGGUGGCUAAGUUUUGGUUUAGAAACAUGAGAAGUAGAAGCCUGUACUGUAAAGAACAGCACAGUGUCUCAGAGAACAAGAAACCUGAGAGGAACAAAAUAAAUUCAAGGACACAGAAGUUGAGCUUUUUUUACCCACUACCCAGAAGAGGUAUCUAGAGAUGCUGAAAGCACCUUCAUCCAGAAGCUAGAAGGAAUACUGGUAUAUUUGAAAAUUAUGCAGUAUGAAUAGUCCAUGUUUACAGGAAAUAUUAAGAAAUUGCACAAAGCCCUGGGAAACCAUCAGACUACACAGAAUCAAGAGUAGAUAAAGUCCAGCAUACGUAAAAGUAAAGUAGCACACAUGGAAGAUAAACCAUGAGUAUAUCUUGGAGGGCUUGAAAUAGUUUCUAUUCAGGGCGUCACCGUGGACUGCCCCUGGGAACAACUAAAAUCCUGCUUCUUCCAUCAGCUCCCGGAGCACGAUGAGGUCAGACAAUUGUGGUGCAGCCCUGGCACAACACCACUUCGUUUUAUGUAUCCCUCCCACGAGCCCUCAGCCGCAGUUCGCCCCAUCUCCCUCCCAGCAGCACUAGCAACCGUGUAAGUACUCGUGUGUGGUGUGGGUGCGUUUCCUACUUCACCCAAAUCCUUAAAAUGGACCUCUUAGGUGAAGGUCAUUAACUAAUACUAAGUAAACCCUCCCAUCCUUUGCUAUCUCAAACGGCUCACACCUCUUCACCGGCCCACCAGGGUACUGCUGGCUCAUUGACUCCGGUCCUGCCUGUUCUCAAAGGGUGCAGCAACAAACAGGGAACAGCAGAAGAUCGGGUAAACUGCCCUCUCUACAGUUUCCUAAACAUUUCUAACCUUCACCACGAUGUCUGAAAUUGCUCUCCUUUUCACAAUGGCAUUUCUCCCACAGAAGGAGCUAGGGGGGCAUACAACAAAUCAGAAGAAUAGGUCCUUUGCUUGUUGUUCAUCGAGUAAUUAAUCAAUAAGGCCACCAGAAACCUGUGGUGGAACUUCACAGGCAUUAAAACACCAAUACAGAAGUUAAUUUAAUGACCACUAGUACUGAGCAAAGUAAACUAACUAACAAAGCUAUCUAGAACUAACAUUUCAAAGCUUUCAGGUUCUUGCUUGACUAGGCCCAGCAUUUGCAACAUUACAACAUUGUUUUUAAAACACUGUAUCAAAGAGGCACACAUGCUCAAGGCAACGUCCCCAUCUCAAGAAAGUCACUCCAGCAUUUUGAAAGAGAAGUAAAAUAUGUUUUGCUUUCUUGUGGCUUGUCAGGUUAAGCCACAGAGCCAGCCAUUUUACCAGGAUAUGUUUUGUCAAAUAAUUUUCUCCUGCCAGAACCGAAUCAUCCUGUGCCCAUGCCAGUCAAUACACAGGGCAUACGGUGACACACUGCUAGGUGACGCAAGCUAUAGCAAUAAGCAGAUUUACCUUUUCUGGUCCUCCACCACCGUGAGACACAAACCCAGCUAUAACCAACAUGUUGUGGACUCCAGAAAGCUUAGUAGCAUUCAUUGCAUUUUUCCAAGACUCAUGAGGAAACAUGUCCACCAGCCCUCCUCACCUGUUUCUUGGUUCCAGUGAUUCCCUCUCACAGCAGCUUCACAGAAAAAGGUGUCAAGACUGAGCUGCAGGAACACCAGAAAAACAUAAAAAAAGAAGAGUUUCUUCGUUUCCACGCUCUGCAGAAAGUGCAGGCUGGAGAGAUCAAGAGAAGCAAAGAAGUAUUGCGUAUCUUAGAGCCUAGCAGUUCAGUUGUUGUGAACCAGUGGGGAACCACGUGGCCCAAGACCUUGUUCUUAGCUUUUAUCCACUUUAGGAAGCACUCCACAGCUUCCUCAUACAAGAGGCAGAUAAAGGAUAUGCUUAAACAUUCCUCUCCCUUCUCGUGGGGAACAGCUGAGAUUACUUACACUUCUAGGCAGUAUGGGGCCACAAGCAACUUGUGCUGCUCUCAACAGUGUUCUAACAUGCUUGAAGUUUGUUUUCAAUGUUUUGAGAACCAACAACAACAAAAGUACCACCAUGUUUUUAAAUGCAUGCUAAAAAAACCACAAAGCAUUUCAAGCAAUCUUAACACAUAGGCAAAUUGUAUUGUUCUCCACCUUAUUUACACUGAAAGAUUCCAUUUUAUCCUUUUUCAUUGGCAAACAAUCAAAAUGUUUAAAAUAGAAGAUGCAUGUUUUAGGAAAUGAUGCAUACCAGAUACCACCCACUGUCCUCUGAGAGAGCUUUGCAACUGUAUCUUAUGUGUUAUUAUUUGUUGCACAUUCCAGUUACACAAUGAAAGUACUUCUUGUGUCUUUUUUUUUUUUUUUUUUUUUAAAGCAUGCUAAGGCACAAGAAGAAAGAUCCUUUCAGCUCCCUCCUUGAGCUACACGGUUCUGUAACCAGCUCCGUGAAGCGCCCUCAUGCUUGGUGGGUCAGCAUCACCAGCAGCCUGGCCAGAGCUCCUUUUUUCUGUUCAUAUUUUGGCCUACAAAGCAUGUACAGCAGUAACGAUGUGCACGUUUUAGUUUCUGGUACCAAAUCUCACUGAGAUACUCUGCCCAUAGCUUUUCCACUGGCCAAUACCACCUUAAGCCAGGUAGCUGAAUCUUCUUUUCAUAAAUGGGAAAACAAAGGGCAGCUUGGGUCCCCUAAAGUCUUUUUUUUUUUUUUUUUUUUGCCCCUCAAUGCCACCAAAAUUAUUGUGCUGCUUCUGGAAAUCCUCCGUGAUCUUGCAGGUGUAAACUCACUCAUUUCUCUCCACAAUCCGAUGUAAUGGCUGUGAAAUUUCCCCUGUUAUCCACCAGUACUUGAUAACAGUCACAUAUCUGGCUUGGGAGACUGCUGGUGAAGGAGAAAGGACAAGGAAAA